GGGACAAUCAAUUUAAAGAUAAGUAAUUGAAUAAGUAAAUAAUACAGUACAUAAUUCUAACACACAUCAAGGGAUAAAGGGAUUAUGGGAUUUAGUGCUGCAAAAAUAAGUGCUAUGUUAAAGUUUUUAAUUUAAAAAAAUAUGAAAAUAUGAAAAACAAAACCAGAUUUUUGUUAUUGCACUUCCUCCUCGUGUUAGGGUUAAGGUUAGGGUUGAGGAUAGGGUUAGAGUUGAACCAGGAUAUGGACAUGAAGCUAGGGUCAGGGUUAGGGUUGAGGAUAGGGUUAGAGUUGAACCAGGAUAUGGACAUGAAGCUAGGGUCAGGGUUAGGGUUGAGGAUAGGGUUAGAGUUGAACCAGGAUAUGGACAUGACGCUAGGGUCAGGGUUAGGGUUGAGGAUAGGGUUAGAGUUGAACCAGGAUAUGGACAUGACGCUAGGGUCAGGGUUAGGGUUGAGGAUAGGGUUAGAGUUGAACCAGGAUAUGGACAUGACGCUAGGGUUAAGGUUAGGGUUGAGGAUAGGGUUAGAGUUGAACCAGGAUAUGGACAUGACACUAGGGUCAGGGUUAGGGUUGAGGAUAGGGUUAGAGUUGAACCAGGAUAUGGACAUGAAGCUAGGGACAGGGUUAGGGUUGAGGAUAGGGUUAGAGUUGAACCAGGAUAUGGACAUGAAGCUAGGGUCAGGGUUAGGUUUGAGGAUAGGGUUAGAGUUAGAGUUGAACCGGGAUAUGGACAUGAAUCUAGGGUCAGGGUUAGGGUUGAGGAUAGGGUUAGAGUUGAACCAGGAUAUGGACAUGACGCUAGGGUUAAGGUUAGGGUUGAGGAUAGGGUUAGAGUUGGACCAGGAUAUGGACAUGAAGCUAGGGUUGGGUUGAGGAUAGGGCUAGAUUUGAACCAGGAUAUGGACAUGAAGCUAGGGUCAGGGUUAGGGUUGAAGCUAGGAAUAGAGUUGAACCAGGAUGUGGACAUGAAACUAGGUUUAGAGUUAGGGUUGAGGCUAGGGUUAGAUUUGAACCAGGAUAUGGACAUGAAGCUAGGGACAGGGUUAGGGUUGAGGAUAGGGUUAGAGUUGAACCAGGAUAUGGACAUGAAGCUAGGGUCAGGGUUAGGUUUAAAGCUAGGGUUAGAGUUGAACCAGGAUUUGGACAUGAUGCUAGGGUUAUGGUUGUGGUUGUGGCUAUGGUGAGGGUUGAACCAGGAUGUGGACAUGAAGCUAAGUUUUGGAUUAGGGUCGUGGUUGAGGCUAGGGUUAGGGUUGGGCUAACGCUUAGGGCUGUGGUUGAGUCUAGGGUUAUGAUUGAAGCGGGAUGUGGACAGGAAGCUAGGGUUAGGGUUGGAGUAAUGCUUAGGGCUGUGGUUUAUUCUAGGGUUAUGAUUGAAGCGGGAUGUGGACAUGAAGCUAGGGUUAGGGUUGGGGUAACUCUUAGGGCUGUGGUUCAGUCUACUAUUAGGCUUGAACAUCCAUGUGGACAUGAAGAUAUUGAUAUGUUUAGCAUACCGACGAGGUAAAGAGAGAGGCCAAUGUGAUCUGGAAAUGUUUGCAGUGAACCUAGCUUGAAAAAAAGGUUAGACAAAGUUAAUUGACAGUUUGUUUUACUGGUUCCCAACUCUCUUUUCUUUCACACUCUCAGUGUCUCUCUCAAGCUCUCUCUCGCUCUCACUCUCAAUUAAAUUAAAUUCAAAGAGCUUUAUUGGCAAGGGAAACAAGUGAAUAGAUAAUAAACAAAAGUGAUAUAAUCAAUCAAAGAGUAACAUUAAACAAAAC
rnacentral:lncRNA from 1 species